AAUAAAAAAUUUUUUUUCUAUUUUGUAUUUUAGAUAAGUUAUGCAUAAAUCCUUUACUCUUAUUUUCGCUUUGAUGAGAUUCAAUAUGAAAUUGCACAAAUAGAAUCCUUUCAUUCUUCCAAAUGCAAACUGACAUGCUUCUGCAUCUAUCCACUUUCACAAAUUUUUGAAUAAUUUGAAAAUUGAUGGAAUUUAUUCGUUUAUUCUUUGGAAUUCAUCUUUAAAAUAAACGAGUUCGAAUAUAAUGGUAAGAAGUUUAUAUCUCUAAGAAUGCAAAUAUAAAUAUAUCUUUGAGAUCUUUGAAGAGCUUUCUGGCGGAAUGUGAAUGUAAAGAUUUAAUUCUCCAACAAACUGAAAUAAGAAGAGUAAAGAAAACUCGUCUCGCUAAUCAGAUCAUGGUAAGAUGUACUAGUGAACAUACUUCUACGGACGUGAAGUUAUCGACCAUCUUAAGGUGGAAAUCCGAAGAAAAAUUCCAGUCAGUAGCAUGAUAUGAGAAGAAUCAAUCUGACUGCAUGACCCUAAAUUUCCUUUGUUAGUAUUAGUGGAUGGACGCCAAACCAAACUCUCGUUAUUUACCUUCUCUCAUACAGACAGGAUACGAGAUGCUAUCAGCAAUAAAUCGAUCUUUUUUACGAUAAUGCUCAACAACUGCUUUUUUCGUGAAAUGUUGGUAACUUGAGAGUUAUAAUAGAUCCGUAUCAUGGAAGUUAACAAAGCUUUAAGCUUUCUUGCCAAGUUGGCCAUCUGGUUAAUAUACAAAAAUCCAAAACAGAAAACAAAUUGAAAAGCUAAGUCUGCAACAACCGUUUAUUUAAAUUAGAGGCGAAUACUUGAAACAUUACAAAGACUUUAGUUAAAUUAAUGAUAAAGAAUGAGCUGAAAUAAUGAAAAAAUUUCACACAUGAAUAGAAUUUAAAUAUAAUACUGUUAUUAAUUUCAUUUAAUAUUUUUAUGCUAUUUUAAUAUUAUUUUU